UGGGGAAUAUUGGACAAUGGGGGGAACCCUGAUCCAGCCAUGCCGCGUGUGUGAAGAAGGCCUUAUGGUUGUAAAGCACUUUAAGCGAGGAGGAGGGUACUGGUAUUAAUACUACCAUGUACUGGACGUUACUCGCAGAAUAAGCACCGGCUAACUCUGUGCCAGCAGCCGCGGUAAUACAGAGGGUGCGAGCGUUAAUCGGAUUUACUUGGCGUAAAGCGUGCGUAGGCGGCUAAUUGAGUCGUAUGUGAAAUCCCCGAGCGUAACUUGGGAAUUGCAUUCGAUACUGGUUAGCUAGAGUGUGGGAGAGGAUGGUAGAAUUACAGGUGUAGCGGUGAAAUGCGUAGAGAUCUGGAGGGAUACCGAUGGCGAAGGCAGCCAUCUGGCCUAACACUGACGCUGAGGUACGAAAGAAUGGGGAGCAAACAGG
rnacentral:rRNA from 1 species